UGGCGGACGGGUGAGUAAUGUCUGGGAAACUGCCUGAUGGAGGGGGAUAACUACUGGAAACGGUAGCUAAUACCGCAUAACGUCGAAAGACCAAAGAGGGGGACCUUCGGGCCUCUUGCCAUCGGAUGUGCCCAGAUGGGAUUAGCUUGUUGGUGGGGUAAUGGCUCACCAAGGCGACGAUCCCUAGCUGGUCUGAGAGGAUGACCAGCCACACUGGAACUGAGACACGGUCCAGACUCCUACGGGAGGCAGCGUG
rnacentral:rRNA from 1 species